UAAUUAUAUAGUAUAAAAAGUAUAUUUAAUUUCCAAUUAAAAGGUUUAUUUAUUAAUAUAAUUAA
rnacentral:tRNA from 1 species